GGACUACCGGGGUAUCUAAUCCUGUUUGCUACCCACGCUUUCGUGCAUCAGCGUCAGAAAUGGUCCAGAAAGCCGUUUACACCACCGGUGUUCCUCCUGAUAUCUACGCAUUUCACCGCUACACCAGGAAUUCCACUUUCCUCUCCCACCCUCUAGCCCGGCAGUCUAUAGCGCACCCUCCCAGUUAAGCCGGGAGAUUUCACACCAUACUUAUCGAGCCGCCUACGCACCCUUUACGCCCAGUAACUCCGAACAACGCUUGCUGCCUACGUAUUACCGCGGCUGCUGGCAC
rnacentral:rRNA from 1 species